rnacentral:lncRNA from 1 species
AAAGAUUAUUCAAACUAGUACUCAUGCCUAGCUUCUGCUCAUUAUAGCAUAAAUGACUCAAAUUAUUCGAUCUUGUUAUCAUUGCAUUGCUAAGCACAAGUGACAUUUAUAUUUAUUUUUUAGAUACUCUCUUGUCAUAAAUCUCCAAUGAAAAAUCACUAAUUAUCUGUGUAGUACUUGUAGUUGUGGAACCAGUAGAACUCAAACUUGGAGCCAUGGCUGAAGCAACAGUGCUUAACUUGUCUCCAUUCCCAUUACUUUUUGACACACAAGAGUUGCUCAAAUGAACCUCAUUAGCA